UAUAACUCAUUCAUUUUGACUAUGCCAGACA
rnacentral:piRNA from 1 species